UAAUUUAUCUAGGGCAGAUCCUUAUUUAAUCAUGACAGACCCAUAUCUGGUUGCCCAGCAUCACCCGUUAUCGCAAGCUUAACUACAUCAUUCUUUCCGGGUUAGAGAGAACUCGUCCUCGAGUUUUGU
rfam:Populus trichocarpa scaffold_16_contig_76, whole genome shotgun sequence.